AUGUAUGAACAGAAAUUAUUCUCUGAAUAUCAAUAUUGUCUGAUUUGAAUUCGAAGGUCCUUUGAGUGUUCUCUUCAUUUCACUUGUUGGGAGGAAGGGUGCCCUCUCUACAGCUGCUGAUUGAGUGAAAAUACUAUAUUUUUCUGCAGCAUGCAAGCAACUAGGUCUUCAUCAACCAACUCAAAGGCAAUUAUUAAAGGUGGGAGCUUUAGUUAAGUGAACCUUCUUGCAAUAUUCAGUUGAGAUUAAAGGAGGGAGGACAAUAUAAUGCAAGGGGCAGUUUGGACCAAAAGGAGGAGUUUUUGAGGUGAAUACAACAGUUAUAGUGUAGUUCAAGACUCCACAUGCAUGUACCACCCUUUGAGGACAACUUUGAGGCAGCCAACCUUCAGUUUGGAUUAUUUUUUAUACCUUUUCUACAUGGCUUUUGAUCAAUUUCGACCCCAGGAGUUACAAGCAUGCAAAAUUGAAGAAAUUUCCAAGAAGAAGAUCAUCAUGCAAACUUAGUUCUUCUUUCAGUCGACGCCAACUCCUCUCUUCUAUAAAUCUUGCAUUCUUCUUCUAUUUUUUUUACUUAUUUCUUCCUUUUGGUAUGUAUUGUAGGCUAUUUUGGUCUGUUUAAUGCUCAAGGACAACAUUGUAACUCAAUUUUUGAGUUUUUGUAAUAGCAACAACUCCUUUAUUUUUAAUAAAAUAGCAUCUUUCAUUUCCAAUACUUCUUGUAUUGUGUUAUUGAAUGGAUGAUUUGAUG